UCCCAGUUCGGAUUGUAGUCUGCAACCCGACUACAUGAAGCUGGAAUCGCUAGUAAUCGCGGAUCAGAAUGCCGCGGUGAAUACGUUCCCGGGUCUUGUACACACCGCCCGUCACACCAUGGGAGUUGGUAACGCCCGAAGUCAGUGACCCAACCAAACGGAGGAAGCUGCCGAAGGCGGGACCGGUAACUGGGGUGAAGUCGUAACAAGGUACC
rnacentral:rRNA from 1 species